GACGAACGCUGGCGGCGUGCCUAAUACAUGCAAGUUGAGCGCUGAAGGUUGGUGCUUGUACCAACUGGAUGAGCAGCGAACGGGUGAGCAACGCGUGGGGAAUCUGCCUUUGAGCGGGGGACAACAUUUGGAAACGAAUGCUAAUACCGCAUAAAAACUUUAAACACAAGUUUUAAGUUUGAAAGAUGCAAUUGCAUCACUCAAAGAUGAUCCCGCGUUGUAUUAGCUAGUUGGUGAGGUAAAGGCUCACCAAGGCGAUGAUACAUAGCCGACCUGAGAGGGUGAUCGGCCACAUUGGGACUGAGACACGGCCCAAACGCCUACGGGAGGCAGCAGUAGGGAAUCUUCGGCAAUGGACGAAAGUCUGACCGAGCAACGCCGCGUGAGUGAAGAAGGUUUUCGGAUCGUAAAACUCUGUUGGUAGAGAAGAACGUUGGUGAGAGUGGAAAGCUCAUCAAGUGACGGUAACUACCCAGAAAGGGACGGCUAACUACGUG
rnacentral:rRNA from 1 species